UCAAUAAGCAUCUAUUGAAUAUCAUGUUAUGCAUAGGUAGCAAGAUUAAAAUAAAACCUGAAACAUCAAGAACUCAUCAAUCCCUCUCCUUUUUUGACUUUUUUGAAUUUCAUCCAUACCAAUCAACCUACAAUCAGGAGAUACACAAGCUGCCUUCUAGCAUGUAGAAGGAGACUGCUUCUCUCGUGAUCUCUCAGAAUCUAUUUAUACUAGAACACAUCCUCCAACAAAGUAAAAAUUAAAAAAUCUGUAUGAUGACAGCAUAGCGUGGUUAAUUUCCUACAGUAUUAUAAAUUCCCAUCCUCAAACUGAUAGCUACUCAGAUAAGUAGAAAGAAAAACAGAUGAAUAGAGUUAAUUUAUUUGCUGUUACAAUUCACUUGAAAUAAUUAAUAUGGGAAAAAAUCCCUUUAGGAAGGAGAAAUAAUAAAGAUCCUGAGUCCUCAAGUGGCAUAAACAUGAAGGAUAUCAAGAUGAGCAUGGAAUUUACAUGUUUAAAACAUGUAUUUAAAAACACGAUCCAACAGCUGUUACUAAAUGAAAGCACAAAAUGAAGGCACUUCUAAAAUGGUGGAUGAGUACUCUGUAGAGCACAACAUGGUUGCCAGCUUUUGAUCAUUCAAGAGGCACCUACCUAUCAGUCCUCUACUCGGAACACACAUAAAAAGCUUAAGAUACGAACUAGAUAAAGAGGCUUAAUUAUGCCCUUCAAAUCUCCCUCUCCCCUUUAUCUAACAUUACACUCAAUAAAACACUCAGUGUAUGAUUUAAUAUGUGAAGCCCAAGUAAAGCUCACCACUGAAAGGUUUUCAACUUACAGCAGUCAUUUCUAACAGUGGAAAUAAAUUAUCUACCUUCAAGCUAUUUUGUUUUCUUCAAAUCUAGAGUUAGCAUUUGUUUAAGGUAAUUUCUCAGAACCUUUAAUGAGAAGGUAAGAUACAGCUUUGUAACAGCAAAAAGUAAAAGCUUCCUCUACCAGAACAAUGAAGUUCAGACCUGACCAGAUAGCACGCCUCCCAACCCAGAAAAAUGUUGGAAAACAGAUCUAGUAUUUGUCGUGGUAGCAUUGCUAAGAAGCAGUGAAACUUCUCUACGUUGAACAGACGAAUCAAGCAGUGACUUUAAUAAAACAACACUAAGAUAUAUGUUAAUGUACAUAAACAAGUGAUCGUUUUUUCACUAUUUUUAAACACCGUAGCAAUUUAGUUUACAAUUGUUAACACCCAGGAGGUAUUCACUCCCUAACUAUUAAACGCACCAUAAAAGCUGAAGGCUUAUGCCAAGAGCAGCAGACUGGGAAGACAGUAAAUACAAGCUUAAGAUGAUUAACACAUCUAUUUCCUAUUUAGCAUUCUUUCAUACAUGGCAAAUCGAACACCUUUUAAUCAAACUAGUUACAGUAAUUGCUGUAGAUGUCAUGUGAUUACAUUUUUAAACAAAUUGGGACUUCUUUGGUAGUCUUACAGGUGUGUCUUAUAUUUCCAGGUUACAAAGAGACGUCCAAAGUCCCCCACAGCAAACAUGCUUUGCAUCAUAGAUUCUACUCCUUCACUAAGGGAUUAGCACUAGUGUGUCCAUGAAGCAAGAAAGCACGUCUCCUUCCUUAACAUGAGGUGAGACUAGCUGCUCUUAAACCACUGACUUGACAUUACAUUCUUCACAAGGAGAAACUAAGAAAGUAUUUUUGUGAAGACGAUACGACCUAUAGCCAUACAACUGGUUUUCCAUAUAAGCUGUCAAUCCUACACGUGUUACACCUCAUUAAUACGCUGCAGUGUGGUCAUUAAUUUAAACCCUUCCUUGAGUCCCCAGUAACACAUAUCUAGCCUAAUAAGGUCUACCUAACUUAAGGAGCAAGCUGAAUGAAAACUAAAUGAAAGCACGUUCAUACAAAAAAAUAAAUGCUCCAAAGAGGUCACGAAAUCAGCACAGGACUUUUAAAACUGUUUGUAUUGUAAUUAUCUAUUCAGCACAAACAGCAUCAUGGUGGCAUACGAAGUACAUAAAACAAUUAAGACUGAAGAGCUCAAUUUCAUAUGCGUUCUAAAAUGCUCAGGUCAGACAAGAUGACUCAGCUCAUAAGCACUUUUUAAAAGCAAGUCAAUUAAAAGUGAUAACUUCAGUAGCUUAAGGAUAUAGUAUUAGGACACAAAUCUUGAGUUUGACUAGUUCCAUUAUUACCACCAGGGUCUGAAUAUGCUUUUAUAUGAAUCACAGCUUAGUCUACAUAAUAGACUGUAAUAUUCCUGGCAGUUCUGGCCCCUCAUAAGUGAAGAUUCACAUGGGAUUUCAAGUACGUUCUGCUGUUCUUCUCAAGGUAUCAGAUCAUUCCUACUACAUGCUUCUACUUCUCAAACUUCUCAGGCAGAUGCACAACGAAGGCACUGAACAACCCUUUUCAUUUCUAAUUAGCUGUGUUUUGUUGCAGCACAUCCACGGUGCAUGGCGUACGUCUAUUACCCGAAAAUAUUAACUGAUCUCCAUCUUGCCUGUUACCUGCAGCAAGUUACUGCUGAAAGUUUAUUACAAUACAAACAGUUUUAAAAUGCUUAAUGAAAAUAGGUAUAUAACUCCUCUUAUACGAGCACACUGAUGCUUCAUCCAAGCCAAGGAGAAUAGCUGCACUCAGGUAAGCCUGUAAGACUGGUCUUCUUAACUUAACAAGGUAAAUCAUAUUUAUUUAAAAGCAAAUUGUCAGGAGUAUUUUUGAGAAUUCUGCUACACAUCUCCAAGUAGAUGCCUUUAAACACCGAGGUCCCAAAUUUACACUGAAGGACGUUAGCAUCGUAAGCUGUGAAAAAGAACCAGUUUAGACAGACAAACAAGAUUCCCAACUUUUAAUUAUACAGUGGUGAAAGCAUGGCACAAAUGUAACAUGCUACUCUGUCUCUAGACAUAGAACCAGAAAAUGUAAAAAAUAAUAACAGUAAUAAUCACACAUUAGAAAGCUGAUUAACUAAUACAGCAAGGAGAGAUAUUUUUAUUCAGAUUGAGUGUGGUUUAGAUUUUUAAGAGUAAAACUAUGUUGAAAAGAGAAUUUUUAUGUUUCUUCUGUAAAAAUAAUAAGUAAAAACUCACAAACAUCACCUGUUAACAAAUCAAUACCUUCAAUUUAAAUAUUUCUAAAGUUUAAUCAAACUGGUUGUCAGCAAUAAGAAUGGCAACUCCCGUAAGCACAGCAUUACUUCACAGUUAUGCUCAUUUCAUAUUCUUAAAAAACAUCUUAUAAAUGACAUCAAAAUUUCACAGAAUUUGUUAAGACAUUAACAUUAUUUAGCACGUAACAGCAGUUCUCAAAUGCACUGAGAUUCGAAAGAAAAUUCAACAAGGUCUGAGCUUAAACACAUCAUGUUUAUUUUGCUUAAAAAAAUAACACAUCUAGAAUUAUAAACAAAAAAUCAGUGGUAUAACAUACCUGGUACACACAGCUCUGAAUUCUGAUCAAGGCUUUUCACUUGACCAGCCAUCUGAGUCCUCCGUAUCCAUUAAUAGCCUCUAAAGAAAACCACAGCAAAAGAAACAAGUCUAUCAGAGAAGAAAAGACACAUACAGGUUCUAUCUAUGGUCUUAAUGUUCUUGACCAAAACAAACUUCUUGAAAACACAUCGGGUGCCUAACAAUUCAUAAAAAUUGUACCUAGAAUACGAAAAGGUAAUAUCUGUAUUUGCAAGCAUUAACACUCAGGUCUCCAGAAAUGAAAAAGACCCCGCAGAACAGUCUUCUGUACAAAUACCUGAAGCCUAAAGUUAUUGCUGUCACAUACAGAUGUCACCAUGUGCCCAAGCAUUAAUGCUACAAACUCUGUGAGUGCAAAAAAUACACAAUUUUUGAAGGGGAAUGCAUGUUUUCACAGGUGAAACGGGACACAUGCAGUAUCUGGGUUUAUACAAUUAUACUGUCAUUUCCCUCAAAUACAACACGUGUGUAUAUUUACACGCAUACAAUCCACUUUCAUAAAUAACCUCAGAAAAGCUACAGUGAAACAGGAGAGGUGGCAUGUAUUUCAUUAAUUUCUGCAGCCUACUCAUGGCUGCAGAAAGAACGCAUCCAAGAAGUCCAGACCGUUUUUAAAACGCGUCCCUUCCAACUUAAAUUGGUUUUUUUUUUCCCUCUUCUCCCACAGUAGGGAAAAAGCAAAACUCACAAUCAUAUAAUUAACAAAAAGCGUGCAUAUUAACACAAGUUAUGACCACUCUUACCUAAGAAUAUAAGUACCAACGAUUCUUCUGGAAGCCAUUCAGGAAAUAAGGUAUUGUUCAUGGAAUUCUACCUGAAAGAAAAAAAAUAAGCAAAUAUUCAGCAUUUUGCUUCAGAAAAUUAGGACAAGAUGCUAGAAAGUUAUUGACCUUUAGAUAAUUAUUAAGUUAGGAAAAACUUACAAUGGGAGUAACUGUAUCUUUCUAACUCUAAAAAUAAAAGUACGGGUGACUGGCCAAAGGAAAAAACAGGAGAUGAAAAGUGACUGACACACAACAUGCACGAUCUAUAUUUCUGCAUGAAGAGCUGUAAUCGGCUCCUCUGUCUCCCAUUCCUUUUACUAAAAGACCAAAUGCUUAAUCAGUUUAGUUUUUCCUUAGGAGUAACUCCUGUAUUGGAGAAUGCUUCUCGGUCCCUGCACUCUUCCCACAUUAAAGUCCCUACAAGUAGGCUAUGCAACGUUACUUAAAAUUACUUGCUAUCGCUGCAAGUUCUGAAAUGGCUCCUGUCAUUCGCCUCUCUGAAUGCUAAGUCAAGAGUUACCUGAUUUUCCCCAAAUAAGGUUUCUUUGUGCCCUUUCAAAUACAGUUUUAAAGCCUUCAGCUCUCUGACCUUUAAUCAGAUCCCAAACUAUGCUCCCUGACACGACCAACCCCACUUUUGCACCACCUUCGGCCAACUUCCCUCGCUUGUUGGGAAAAGCCUCAACAUUCAAUUCUGCAGCGGUUGCAUUUAGCAGCGCUACUUUAUACUCUGGAAGAAGUUGGAAAUAAUUCCAUUCGUACAUGGGCAAUUUAAAAAUCGCUUCCAUGUUACGUUAAGGAUCUGAGUUAAAAUACCAACGUGCUAUGUACACAAAAAUGGACAAUUAUUAAACAAAACAUCUUAAAAAUCACAAGCAAUUUAUUGCGAGAGACAGUUGCUAGUUUGGCUUCAGCAGCUGAAAGAAACAAACCAAAGCUAUUGGAAAAUAUGUCCCCUCAUAUACUAAAAAAGAGCACAAAAAUACAGCCCCCCACCUAAAGCUAGAACUUUCUUUUCAGCAAAGUCUGCAUGUCAGAACCUAUUCUACACUGCAGAACUGUUGCUGGAAUUACAAAGCCAUAAUCCCAACCUAAAAUAAAGAUACGAAGCACCCUGCAUAAAGGUGAGACGAGUCCAAUGGCUGCUCAAACUUAUAUCUCCAUCUCUGAAAAAGGCAGCUUUCAUUGUUGCAAUGAUGGAUUCACGUUUGCAGAGGAAAAAAUGAAAAUGUAGGUUUACCUCUAACUGCAGCAUUUGAAACCUGCACGGAGUUUUAUCAUCUCGUACAACAGAUGAAUGCAAUAAAUAUGGCUACACACAAUAUCCAAUUAAAACUGAAGUUCUUAAUAUUUACCUCCUGGUUUUACUGCAGUGACUUCUUACACAUUUGAAAUAACAGUUUUACCCCUAAAUUGGUGAGUGCUGAACGUGAGGCAGCGCAAAACAAACGCCAGGCAUUCCAUUUAAACUUGCAUUUUUCCAAAGUCUUGCAAUAGGUGUCGGACAACUUCUAAAUUAUUAACAAGCAAAACAACGACAGAAAUGCUAUAUAAACAGAAAUGACUGCAAGCUCCCUGCAAAAUGCACAGACUGAACACCAGGAACAAAACUGUCACCCAAUAAAUGCUUUUUAAAAGCUUCUACUGUCAGACAGGAACCCAUUCGCCUCCGUAUCGCAUAAUUCCUAUUUAAAUAAGUACCUUUUCUUCUCCUACCGUCGCCUAAAUCACAACUGUAGUAUUUUGCCAACUUUAAACUACAGGCUUGGCACUGCCGAUCUUUGUUUUCCUCAUGUUUGGAAGUUUUCAUAUUGCCAUUUAAAUCGCAAAAUCGUAUCAUCCGUAAUUGUUGGAGUUUUCUUUAAAGUUCAGCACCUGAACAACUGUUCUCCAAGUGCGGUAUAUUCCUAUCCAUUGUCUCGACAAAGUACCGAGCUGUCUCAUCCGCAGCCUGGUUUUUUUUUUUCUUUCUGGUUUAGAAAGAGUUAAAAGCCAACACCCCACCAAAAAAACCCACUAAGUUUUAUUUUUAAGAGAAAAGGACAUGGCGUCUUUGUUCUUAUCAACUACGAAAACAUACCCCCCAUCAGAGCAGCGACGGGCAACAAAUGCUCUUUAAAACAGACGGGAGCUUCGGGGCUAAACGCGUAACUGCUGCCGUGCCACGGUCUGCACCCCCCGGCUUCUCGUUGCUGCGGCGGAGUCGGAGGGCGGCUCGGCGCUGCACGGAGCGGACAAAGGACAAUGAGGAGCGGGGCGGCUCGGGCACUUACCGGCGACUGCAGCCCGCUGCCAGCCGACGAGGGCCCCGAG
rnacentral:lncRNA from 1 species